GAAAUACUCCCUCCGUCCCAAAAUUCUUGUCUUAGAUUUGUCUAGACACGGAUGUAUCUAAUACUAAAACAUGACUUGAUACAUCCGUAUUUGGACAAAUCUAAGACAAGAAUUUUAGGACGGAGGGAGUACUAC
rnacentral:pre_miRNA from 1 species